GAUGAACGCUGGCGGCGUGCCUAAUACAUGCAAGUCGAGCGAACGGACGAGAAGCUUGCUUCUCUGAUGUUAGCGGCGGACGGGUGAGUAACACGUGGAUAACCUACCUAUAAGACUGGGAUAACUUCGGGAAACCGGAGCUAAUACCGGAUAAUAUUUUGAACCGCAUGGUUCAAAAGUGAAAGACGGUCUUGCUGUCACUUAUAGAUGGAUCCGCGCUGCAUUAGCUAGUUGGUAAGGUAACGGCUUACCAAGGCAACGAUGCAUAGCCGACCUGAGAGGGUGAUCGGCCACACUGGAACUGAGACACGGUCCAGACUCCUACGGGAGGCAGCAGUAGGGAAUCUUCCGCAAUGGGCGAAAGCCUGACGGAGCAACGCCGCGUGAGUGAUGAAGGUCUUCGGAUCGUAAAACUCUGUUAUUAGGGAAGAACAUAUGUGUAAGUAACUGUGCACAUCUUGACGGUACCUAAUCAGAAAGCCACGGCUAACUACGUGCCAGCAGCCGCGGUAAUACGUAGGUGGCAAGCGUUAUCCGGAAUUAUUGGGCGUAAAGCGCGCGUAGGCGGUUUUUUAAGUCUGAUGUGAAAGCCCACGGCUCAACCGUGGAGGGUCAUUGGAAACUGGAAAACUUGAGUGCAGAAGAGGAAAGUGGAAUUCCAUGUGUAGCGGUGAAAUGCGCAGAGAUAUGGAGGAACACCAGUGGCGAAGGCGACUUUCUGGUCUGUAACUGACGCUGAUGUGCGAAAGCGUGGGGAUCAAACAGGAUUAGAUACCCUGGUAGUCCACGCCGUAAACGAUGAGUGCUAAGUGUUAGGGGGUUUCCGCCCCUUAGUGCUGCAGCUAACGCAUUAAGCACUCCGCCUGGGGAGUACGACCGCAAGGUUGAAACUCAAAGGAAUUGACGGGGACCCGCACAAGCGGUGGAGCAUGUGGUUUAAUUCGAAGCAACGCGAAGAACCUUACCAAAUCUUGACAUCCUUUGACAACUCUAGAGAUAGAGCCUUCCCCUUCGGGGGACAAAGUGACAGGUGGUGCAUGGUUGUCGUCAGCUCGUGUCGUGAGAUGUUGGGUUAAGUCCCGCAACGAGCGCAACCCUUAAGCUUAGUUGCCAUCAUUAAGUUGGGCACUCUAAGUUGACUGCCGGUGACAAACCGGAGGAAGGUGGGGAUGACAUCAAAUCAUCAUGCCCCUUAUGAUUUGGGCUACACACGUGCUACAAUGGACAAUACAAAGGGCAGCGAAACCGCGAGGUCAAGCAAAUCCCAUAAAGUUGUUCUCAGUUCGGAUUGUAGUCUGCAACUCGACUACAUGAAGCUGGAAUCGCUAGUAAUCGUAGAUCAGCAUGCUACGGUGAAUACGUUCCCGGGUCU
rnacentral:rRNA from 1 species